UCCACCUGUAUUGCCUAGUACGGCGAGUGAGCGGCAACAGCUCAAAUUUGAAAUCUGGCUCUUUUAGAGUCCGAGUUGUAAUUUGCAGAGGGCGCUUUGGCUUUGGCAGCGGUCCAAGUUCCUUGGAACAGGACGUCACAGAGGGUGAGAAUCCCGUACGUGGUCGCUGGCUAUUGCCGUGUAAAGCCCCUUCGACGAGUCGAGUUGUUUGGGAAUGCAGCUCUAAAUGGGAGGUACAUUUCUUCUAAAGCUAAAUAUUGGCCAGAGACCGAUAGCGCACAAGUAGAGUGAUCGAAAGAUGAAAAGCACUUUGGAAAGAGAGUCAAACAGCACGUGAAAUUGUUGAAAGGGAAGCGCUUGCAGCCAGACUUGCUUACAGUUGCUCAUCCGGGUUUCUACCCGGUGCACUCUUCUGUAGGCAGGCCAGCAUCAGUUUGGGCGGUAGGAUAAAGGUCUCUGUCACGUACCUCCUUUCGGGGAGGCCUUAUAGGGGAGACGACAUACUACCAGCCUGGACUGAGGUCCGCGCAUCUGCUAGGAUGCUGGCGUAAUGGCUGUAAGCGGCCCGUCUUGAACAACGGACCAAAACCACC
rnacentral:rRNA from 1 species